CAGUCGCCGCGGUAAUACGAAGGGGGCUAGCGUUGUUCGGAAUUACUGGGCGUAAAGGGCGCGUAGGCGGCCAUUCAAGUUAGAUGUGAAAGCCCUGGGCUCAACCUAGGAAUUGCAUUUGAUACUGUUUGGCUUGAGUUCGGGAGAGGUGAGUGGAAUUCCCAGUGUAGAGGUGAAAUUCGUAGAUAUUGGGAAGAACACCAGUGGCGAAGGCGGCUCACUGGACCGACACUGACGCUGAGGCGCGAAAGCGUGGGGAGCAAACAGGAUUAGAUACCCGGGUAGUCCCUGUCUCUUAUAC
rnacentral:rRNA from 1 species